rnacentral:rRNA from 1 species
GACGAACCGUGCAAACGUUGUUCGGAUUCACUGGGCUUAAAGGGCGCGUAGGCGGGCCAUCAAGUCAGGGGUGAAAUCUUUCGGCUCAACCGGAAAAGUGCCUUUGAUACUGGUGGUCUCGAGGGAGGUAGGGGCAUGCGGAACUUCCGGUGGAGCGGUGAAAUGCGUAGAUAUCGGAAGGAACGCCGGUGGCGAAAGCGGCGUGCUGGACCUCUUCUGACGCUGAGGCGCGAAAGCUAGGGGAGCAAACGGGG